rnacentral:rRNA from 1 species
GUGAACGCUGGCGGUGCGCCUAAGACAUGCAAGUCGAGUGGGUUCAGACCCACGGCGAACGGCUGCGUAACACGUGGGUACCUGCCCCGAACUCAGGGAUACCCCCGCGAAAGCGGGACUAAUACCGGAUGCCCUCGCAAGAGGAAAGAUUUUUCGGUUCGGGAGGGGCCUGCGGCCUAUCAGCUCGUUGGUAAGGUAACGGCUUACCAAGGCUAUGACGGGUAGCUGGUUUGAGAGAACGACCAGCCAGAAUGGAACUGAGACACGGUCCAUACUCCUACGGGAGGCAGCAGUUAGGAAUAUUCCGCAAUGGGCGAAAGCCUGACGGAGCGACACCGCGUGAAGGAUGAAGCCCUUUUUGGGUGUAAACUUCUGUUGUGAGGGACGAAAUUUUUGACGGUACCUCACGAGAAAGCACCGGCUAAUUCUGU